AGCGGUGGUGAAGGCUUGCCUUCACCAGCCGGCGACCGGCGCACGGGUGAGUAACACGUAUGCAACCUGCCUGCCACAGCCGGAUAAUCGGGAGAAAUCCCGUCUAAUACGGCAUAAUGCAUCGACGGGACAUCCUGUUGGUGCCAAAGGUUAAUUCCGGUGGCGGAUGGGCAUGCGUCGCAUUAGUUAGUUGGCGGUGUAACGGACCACCAAGACGACGAUGCGUAGGGGUUCUGAGAGGAAGGUCCCCCACACUGGUACUGAGACACGGACCAGACUCCUACGGGAGGCAGCAGUGAGGAAUAUUGGUCAAUGGGCGGGAGCCUGAACCAGCCAAGUCGCGUGAGGGAUGACGGCCCUAUGGGUUGUAAACCUCUUUUGCCGGGGAGCAAAGUGCCGCACGUGUGCGGUUUGGAGAGUACCCGGAGAAAAAGCAUCGGCUAACUCCGUGCCAGCAGCCGCGGUAAUACGGAGGAUGCGAGCGUUAUCCGGAUUUAUUGGGUUUAAAGGGUGCGUAGGCGGACGCUUAAGUCAGCGGUAAAAUUGCGGGGCUCAACCUCGUCGAGCCGUUGAAACUGGGUGUCUUGAGUGGGCGAGAAGUACGCGGAAUGCGUGGUGUAGCGGUGAAAUGCAUAGAUAUCACGCAGAACUCCGAUUGCGAAGGCAGCGUACCGGCGCCCAACUGACGCUGAAGCACGAAGGCGUGGGUAUCGAACAGGAUUAGAUACCCUGGUAGUCCACGCAGUAAACGAUGAAUGCUAGUUGUCCGGGGCGAUUGAGUUCUGGGUGACACAGCGAAAGCGUUAAGCA
rnacentral:rRNA from 1 species